ACGGAAGGCAGCAGUGGGGAAUAUUGGGCAAUGGGCGAAAGCCUGACCCAGCAAUGCCGCGUGAAGGAAGAAGGUCUUCGGAUUGUAAACUUCUUUUAUGAGGGACGAAGGAUUUGACGGUACCUCAUGAAUAAGCCACGGCUAACUACGUGCCAGCAGCCGCGGUAAUACGUAGGUGGCAAGCGUUAUCCGGAUUUACUGGGUGUAAGGGGCGCGUAGGCGGGGAAGCAAGUCAGAUGUGAAAUCUAUGGGCUUAACUCAUAAACUGCAUUUGAAACUGUUUCUCUUGAGUGCUGGAGAGGUAGAUGGAAUUCCUAGUGUAGCGGUGAAAUGCGUAGAUAUUAGGAAGAACACCAGUGGCGAAGGCGAUCUACUGGACAGUAACUGACGCUGAGGCGCGAAAGCGUGGGGAGCAAACAGGAUUAGAUACCCUGGUA
rnacentral:rRNA from 1 species